rnacentral:rRNA from 2 species
GACGAAGGGGGCUAGCGUUGUUCGGAAUUACUGGGCGUAAAGCGCGUGUAGGCGGUUGUCCAAGUUGGAUGUGAAAGCCUUGAGCUUAACUCAAGAAAUGCAUUCAGGACUGGAUGACUAGAGGACCGGAGAGGAUAGUGGAAUUCCCAGUGUAGUGGUGAAAUACGUAGAGAUUGGGAAGAACACCAGUGGCGAAGGCGGCUAUCUGGACGGUUUCUGACGCUAAGACGCGAAAGCGUGGGGAGCAAACAGG